rnacentral:lncRNA from 1 species
UAUGUGCAUGCCAUGGCCCAUUGUGGGGAGGUCUGGGGAUGGCCCAGGGUGUCAGUUCUCACCUUCUACCUUGUUUGAGGCAGGGCCUCAUUGUUCACCACUGCCUAUGCCAGGGUAACUGACCCAUGAGCCUCUGGGGUUCUCCUCUCCCUUCCCACUCAGGUCUCCAUUCUUUCAUGGCAGGCACUGUAACCACUGAGGCAGCUUCUCUGCCUUUGUUUCCCAUUCUUACUUCUGAAGAAUCCCACACUGCACUGAGAUUUCCUUAGAACGCGGACUAGACCUUCCGUCUUCUAAUGUGAGGGCCCCCUUCAUUCUGUGAUGACAGUUCCCUGUAAUGGUUAGUUUGUGUGUCCCGGAAGUCUGCAAGUGUCCCCAUGUGUUACGGCUUGCCCAGUGCUUUGCCAGGCAACAUUUUGAUACUUGUCUACCUGAUGAGUAUAAAGUAUGACUUCGCUGUAGUUAUGACUUAGCAUCUUUUGAUGUUUGUAGGAUAUCCGCAUAAUCGUGUGCUUUGUCUGCUUUGUAAAAACUGGACUGCUUAUCCUUUUUGUUCUGUCUUGUUUCACUCUAUAUAGAACUUUUUGUGAAUUCUGGAUACAAAUUGUUUUUCAACAAUGUAUUCGAUUAGUCAAUCCCUACUUUCUCUAUUACCCGUGGUAAGCAGAAGGUCCCAUCAAAUACAGAGGAGAGGACAGGAAGGGAGUAGUAGUCGAAGCUGAGAAUUUCAGAGUCCAUUAUGUAGGCAGUGGAUGCUACUUAAGAUCGCUAAAUGAUCCAUUUUGCUUUAGAAAGCAUGACGGUUAACCUUGAUUGUCAACUUGACAGUAUCUGGACUCACCUAACAGACAGACCUCUCUGGGCGUACCUGAGAGGAACUGAUUAAUUAUCUACAUUGGGGUAAUUGAAGUAGAAAGAUCCAUCUUAACUACGGUAAUCUCCGUCCCAUGGCCUGGAGUCCCAGAAGAAACUAAGCUGAGCACCAGCAUCCAUCUCUGCUUCCUGCCUGUGGAGGUGAUGUGACCAGCCACCUCACACACCACCAUGAUGGAGUGUACCCAAACCGUGAGCCAAAAGAAGCCCUUUCUCCAUUAAGUCACUUUUGUCAGGGUGCUUCAUCACAGCCCCAGGGAAAACUAACCAAUUUAGAGAAUU